ACGGGCAUAUCACGUUGAAAUACCGGUUCUCGUACGAUCACUGAAGUUAAGCAACCUUGAACCUGGGCAGUACAUAGAUGGGUGACCGCUUGGGACUAUCAUGUGCUGUAA